GGUUGCGAUCAUACCAGCACUAAUGAACCGGAUCCCAUCAGAACUCCGCAGUUAAGCGUGCUUGGGCGAGAGUAGUACUAGGAUGGGUGACCCCCUGGGAAGUCCUCGUGUUGCAACCC
rnacentral:rRNA from 1 species